AGACUUCAGAUUUAGCUUGGAAAACAACUGGCUCCUGCCAGUUGAUCCAACCGAUCAUCAGUCUGAAGUAAUACCUAUGUCUAUCGGAUAAACUGGUAAGCGACUUCUGACUGAGGGCAGCUAACAUCUCAUCUGCCUCGCCCAGUAGAUACUGUUUUGUAUACUCAGAGUCGCUGAGCAGUUUUACCCCUUACCUCUGCUUUAGACUCUUCACUAUAAACUCCUUUGAUCGAUAAAGAUCUCAUCUCUAUUCAACUGCUA
rnacentral:lncRNA from 1 species